CAAUAGCGUAUAUUAAAGUUGUUGCGGUUAAAAAGCUCGUAGUUGGAUCUCGGCAGGCAGGGGGUGGUUCGCUCUUAGCGCUACUGCCCCAUUUGCCUGUGUGAUUGGCGGAGGUUUCGGGGUGCUCUUCGUUGAGUGACCCGGGGCGCCGUCAGGUUUACUUUGAAAAAAUUAGAGUGCUCAAAGCAGGCUUUUCACGCUUGAAUAUUCGUGCAUGGAAUAAUGGAAUAGGAACUCGUUUCUAUUUUGUUGGUUUUCGGAAAUCGAGUUAAUGAUUAAUAGGGACAAUUGGGGGCAUUAGUAUUCAGACGACAGAGGUGAAAUUCUUGGACCGUCUGAAGACUAACUACUGCGAAAGCAUUUGCCAAGUGUGUUUUCAUUAA
rnacentral:rRNA from 1 species